rnacentral:tRNA from 1 species
GCCGGAAUAGCUCAGUUGGUAGAGCAGAGGACUGAAAAUCCUUGUGUCACCAGUUC